AUUGAACGCUGGCGGCAUGCCUUACACAUGCAAGUCGAACGGUAACAGGUCUUCGGAUGCUGACGAGUGGCGAACGGGUGAGUAAUACAUCGGAACGUGCCCGAGAGUGGGGGAUAACGAGGCGAAAGCUUUGCUAAUACCGCAUACGAUCUAUGGAUGAAAGCGGGGGACCGUAAGGCCUCGCGCGAUUGGAGCGGCCGAUGUCAGAUUAGGUAGUUGGUGGGGUAAAGGCUCACCAAGCCAACGAUCUGUAGCUGGUCUGAGAGGACGACCAGCCACACUGGGACUGAGACACGGCCCAGACUCCUACGGGAGGCAGCAGUGGGGAAUUUUGGACAAUGGGGGCAACCCUGAUCCAGCAAUGCCGCGUGCAGGAAGAAGGCCUUCGGGUUGUAAACUGCUUUUGUACGGAACGAAACGGUCUGGGUUAAUACCCUGGGCUAAUGACGGUACCGUAAGAAUAAGCACCGCCUAACUACGUGCCAGCAGCCGCCGUAAAAC
rnacentral:rRNA from 1 species